AAAUACCUAUACAAUACAAGUGCAUCACCUGGUUUAGUAUCGUCUUCCCACAAUACCACCACGAUUCUUGGAUAUUAACAUCAUUAAGGCUAAAGAAAAGAGUCAUCACUCGAGUAAUAAUCGGGACAAAAUCAUAGAAGAUACAUGGGUAGCAAUUUAGACAAAUCAUAGAAGAUACGUGGGUAUCAAUUUACCCCUUGCACUUGUCCACUACACUUCUUUUACCAUGAGCCCAAUGG
rnacentral:misc_RNA from 1 species